rnacentral:rRNA from 2 species
ACCCAUGGCAAGUCGAGCGGUAACAGGGUGUAGCUUGCUUCCCGCUGACGAGCGGCGGACGGGUGAGUAAUGCUUAGGAAUCUGCCCAGUAGUGGGGGAUAGCCCGGGGAAACCCGGAUUAAUACCGCAUACGUCCUACGGGAGAAAGCAGGGGAUCUUCGGACCUUGCGCUAUUGGAUGAGCCUAAGUCGGAUUAGCUAGUUGGUGGGGUAAAGGCCUACCAAGGCGACGAUCCGUAGCUGGUCUGAGAGGAUGAUCAGCCACAUCGGGACUGAGACACGGCCCGAACUCCUACGGGAGGCAGCAGUGGGGAAUAUUGGACAAUGGGGGCAACCCUGAUCCAGCCAUGCCGCGUGUGUGAAGAAGGCUUUCGGGUUGUAAAGCACUUUCAGUAGGGAGGAAAACCUUAUGGCUAAUACCCAUGAGGCUUGACGUUACCUACAGAAGAAGCACCGGCUAACUCCGUGCCAGCAGCCGCGGUAAUACGGAGGGUGCAAGCGUUAAUCGGAAUUACUGGGCGUAAAGCGCGCGUAGGUGGUUUGGUAAGCGAGAUGUGAAAGCCCCGGGCUUAACCUGGGAACGGCAUUUCGAACUGUCAGACUAGAGUGUGGUAGAGGGUAGUGGAAUUUCCUGUGUAGCGGUGAAAUGCGUAGAUAUAGGAAGGAACACCAGUGGCGAAGGCGGCUACCUGGACCAACACUGACACUGAGGUGCGAAAGCGUGGGGAGCAAACAGGAUUAGAUACCCUGGUAGUCCACGCCGUAAACGAUGUCAACUAGCCGUUGGGACUCUUGAAGUCUUAGUGGCGCAGCUAACGCACUAAAGUUGACCGCCUGGGGAGUACGGCCGCAAAGGUUAAAACUCAAAUGAAUUGACGGGGCCCGCACAAGCGGUGGAGCAUGUGGUUUAAUUCGACGCAACGCGAAGAACCUUACCUGGGCUUUGACAUCCAGAGAACUUUCCAGAGAAUGGAUUGAUGCCUUCGGGAACUCUGAGACAGGUGCUGCAAUGGGCGUCGUCAGCUCGUGUCUGAGAAUGUUGGGUUAAGUCCCGUAACGAGCGCAACUCCUAAUCCCUGGUUGCUAGCAAGUAAUGCUGAGAAACUCCAAGGGAGACUGCGGUGAACAAACGAAGAAAGGUGGGGAAUGAACGUCAGUCAUCAUGCUACGGCAGGUCUAACACGUGCUACAAUGCCCGUACAGAGGCUGCAACUCGGAGAUGAACAUCCUAACGCGCUCGUGAUCGAAUCUGGAGACUCGUGCAACAUCGA